GUCUUUUUGAUAAUAAUUUAAAGUCUGGCCUGCCCACUGAUUUAUAUUUAAUGGCCGCAGUAAUUUGACUGUGCAAAGGUAGCAUAAUCAUUAGUUUUUUAAUUGAAAGCUGGAAUGAAAGGUUUAAUAAAAAAAUAACUGUCUUAAUUUAAGUUAAAUAAAAUUUUAUUUUUAAGUUAAAAAGCUUAAAUAUAUUUUAAAGACGAGAAGACCCUAUAGAGUUUUAUAUAAAUUAUUUAAUUUUUAGAUAAGAAUUUUAUUAAAUAUAAUUUAAUUUAUAUUUAGUUGGGGUGAUUAAAAAAUUUAAUUAACUUUUUUUUAGUUUUUACAUAGAUUUAUGAAUAUAUGAUCCAUAUUUUAUGAUUAUAAGAAUAAAUUACCUUAGGGAUAACAGCGUAAUUUUUUUUUAGAGUUCAAAUUAAAAAUAAAGAUUGCGACCUCGAUGUUGGAUUAAAGUUAAAUUAUGGUGUAGAAGCUUUAAAUUUUAGUCUGUUCGACUAUUAAAACUUUACA
rnacentral:rRNA from 1 species